UUACAAUGAUGACAGUUCCCAAUCAUUCGCAGUUUCCUCCAGAAAGGACAAGUCCACUUGUUGGUUCGACCUUCCUUGGAUGUCUGAGUGA